UAUUAGUUUGGUACAAAAGUAAUUGCGGUUUUUGCCAUUACUUUCCGUGGCAAAAACUGCAAUUACUUUUGCACCAACCUAAUA
ensembl:miRNA